AUGGAAGAAGAAAUUGAUGAAACUGUGAGCUCAUUGGAUGAGAAAGAUGAGGAGAAGAGCGAAGAACAAAAGGAGGAAGAGCGGAUUGAUCACCCGUGCCCACCUUCUAAUGAGACUAACUCUUCAACUCAUACAUUGUUUAAUUUCCCUUCAUGCUUACCGAAGGAUGAUUGCUAUGAUGAUUGUUAUGAUCCCGUCGAUUCUUUUGAAAUAUCCCUUUUUGAUGAUGCUUGCUAUGCUUGUGGCCAAGAUGCCAAUCUGAAUUAUGCUUAUGGAGAUGAACUUGCUAUAGUUCCUUAUGUUAAACAUGAAAUUGUUGCUAUUGCACCCACGUAUGAUAGUCCUAUUAUCUUUUUGAAUUCUCCCGACUACACUAUAUCGGAGAAGUUUGCACUUAUUAAGGAUUAUAUUGAUGGGUUGCCUUUUACUGUUGCACAUGAUGAUUUUAAUGAAUAUAAUAUGCAUGUGCUUGCUGCUCCUACUUGCAAUUAUUAUGAGAGAGGAACUAUAUCUCCACCUCUCUAUGUUUCCAAUACAACAAAAUUGCAAGAAAUUGUUUAUACUAUGCAUUGGCCUUUACUUUGUGUGCAUGAAUUGUUCUUUUAUGACAUGUUGAUGCAUAGGAAGAGAGUUAGACUUCAUUAUUACAUGAUAUAUGUUACUUUGUGCUCACUACUAAAUUAUAAAUCAUUGUUAAUUAAAAUUGGCUUUGAUAUACCUUGGGAUCCGGGUGGAUUCAUUACUUGA
rnacentral:rRNA from 1 species